UCAGUAGCGGCGAGUGAAGCGGCAAGAGCUCAGAUUUGAAAUCGCCUCGGCGAGUUGUAAAUUGCAGGUUGGAGUCUUUGUGGCGGCGUGUGUCUAAGUCCCUUGGAACAGGGCGCCAUUGAGGGUGAGAGCCCCGUGCGGCACGCGCCUAAGCUUUAAGACCCUUCUGACGAGUCGAGUUGUUUGGGAAUGCAGCUCUAAGUGGGUGGUAAAUUCCAUCUAAGGCUAAAUACUGGCGAGAGACCGAUAGCGAACAAGUACUGUGAAGGAAAGAUGAAAAGCACUUUGAAAAGAGAGUGAAACAGCACGUGAAAUUGUUGAAAGGGAAGGGUAUUGGGCUCGACAUGGGGACUGCGCACCGUUGCUUCUUGUAGGCGGCGCUCUGUGCGGUUUCUGGGCCAGCAUCAGUUUUUGCCGCGGGAGAAUGGGGGGAGGAACGUGGCUCUUCGGAGUGUUAUAGCCUCUCUCAGAUGCCGCGAGCGGGGACUGAGGUCUGCGAUUCGUUCAAGGAUGCUGGCACAACGGCGCAAUACCGCCCGUCUUGAAACAACGGACCCA
rnacentral:rRNA from 1 species